UACGUAGGUCCCGAGCGUUGUCCGGAUUUAUUGGGCGUAAAGCGAGCGCAGGUGGUUUAUUAAGUCUGGUGUAAAAGGCAGUGGCUCAACCAUUGUAUGCAUUGGAAACUGGUAGACUUGAGUGCAGGAGAGGAGAGUGGAAUUCCAUGUGUAGCAGUGAAAUGCGUAGAUAUAUGGAGGAACACCGGUGGCGAAAGCGGCUCUCUGGCCUGUAACUGACACUAAGGCUCGAAAGCGUGGGGAGCAAACAGG
rnacentral:rRNA from 1 species